rnacentral:tmRNA from 1 species
ACCCUUUCAAUAGACUACCGAUAGGACUAUAUUAGGUGUGCCGGUUUACCGGCUAUGGCAAUAAACGUUUUGUAGAAUAAGCGUAACGGACCCGGGGGCAGUGCCCGGCGCCUCCACCAUAAAUUCCCGGCAAUCCAGGGGGUUAGAUAUAAAUUUCCUGGAGCUUAUCGGACCGAUAUGGGGGCGAAACAGGAUCGACGUGCGUAGUAAAAACAAAGUUUUUGCCCGGCAUUGUACCACCGUUAUCGGGCUAACUUUACAAAUGCUAACGAUAAUGAAGCAUUUGCGGUAGCGGCUUAACAGCUAACCUACCACGGGGUUCGGAGGGCACCUGGCAACAGAAGCCCUCCACU